rnacentral:lncRNA from 1 species
UACGAUGUCCCUUUUGCAUCCAAAGGAUAAAACUACUUACUUCUCAAUAGUAAGGACAGUUUUACCCUCCUAAGGAUAGGAAAUGCCCAUAAAGACCUUGGAUAGGUAUAACUCUUAAAUGUUGACUCACGACCUAAAAACAUUUUUCAUACAUCACACUUUGCAAAACAUCUAUUAGAAAAUCACCACUUGGUAUACAUUCGUGCUAGAAUCAUUGCCAAGUUAUAUUUUUCUAAACAGUUUUCAAAAUUAAACGAGAUGAAUAC